GCCCGGAUGGUGAAAUUGGUAGACACGCCAGGUUCAGGGUCUGGUGCUCAAUGGAGCAUGGAGGUUCGAGUCCUCUUCCGGGCA
rnacentral:tRNA from 2 species